AAGCUUAGCUCAGCUGGGAGAGCAUCUGCCUUACAAGCAGGAGGUCAUAGGUUCGAUCCCUAUAGCUUCC
rnacentral:tRNA from 1 species